rnacentral:rRNA from 1 species
GACGAACGCUGGCGGCGUGCUUAACACAUGCAAGUCGAACGGAAUGGCCCUGCUUUUGUGGGGUGCUCGAGUGGCGAACGGGUGAGAAACACGUGAGUAACCUGCCCUUGACUUUGGGAUAACUUCAGGAAACUGGGGCUAAUACCGGAUAGGAGCUCCUGCUGCAUGGUGGGGGUUGGAAAGUUUCGGCGGUUGGGGAUGGACUCGCGGCUUAUCAGCUUGUUGGUGGGGUAGUGGCUUACCAAGGCUUUGACGGGUAGCCGGCCUGAGAGGGUGACCGGCCACAUUGGGACUGAGAUACGGCCCAGACUCCUACGGGAGGCAGCAGUGGGGAAUAUUGCACAAUGGGCGGAAGCCUGAUGCAGCAACGCCGCGUGCGGGAUGACGGCCUUCGGGUUGUAAACCGCUUUCGCCUGUGACGAAGCGUGAGUGACGGUAAUGGGUAAAGAAGCACCGGCUAACUACGUG